GAGCUAUGAGGAGUCAGCAUAUGUGAUGGUUGGGUUCAUCACCACUCAUCUCUGGAUGAAAGCAACAAUUUCCGAGCUC